UACCAGCACCCCGAGUGGUCGGGACGAUUAUUGGGCCUAAAGCAUCCGUAGCCGGUUCUACAAGUCUUCCGUUAAAUCCACCUGCUCAACAGAUGGGCUGCGGAGGAUACCAUAGAGCUAGGAGGCGGGAGAGGCAAGCGGUACUUAGUGGGUAGGGGUAAAAUCCGUUGAUCCAUUGAAGACCACCAGUGGCGAAGGCGGCUUGCCAGAACGCACUCGACGGUGAGGGAUGAAAGCUGGGGGAGCAAACCGG
rnacentral:rRNA from 1 species